UAGGUGGCUCUUGGCGAGAAAAACACCCAGCCAGGUUCCUCUGCUCUCCCUCCCGAUUCAGAGCGCCGCCACCCACCGCGUCCCCCCGACCAUGGCCUCGCCCAGUCUCCUUCAGACCUCGCCGCAGCCGCCGGCCAUGGCCUCGGCCCUCUCCCCUCCCCUCCUCCUCAUCAGAUCAGAAGAGAAGAGAAGAGAAGAGAAGAGAAGAGAAGAGGGAGGGGGAUCGAGCGAGCAGGAGGUCCCAGAUGAGAUACGCCGCCGGCCGGCCCCAUCCCCACAGCCGCGCCCGUGCACCUCUCCCCUCUCUCUCUUCCGAUUCGUUCCGCACCCCUCCGGCGACCUGUCUCCCCCAUCCCACCACACCCCUCCGUCGACCCUGCUCUCUCCCCCACCACACCCCUCACCUUCUCUGCCAGAUCGAGCAGGGCGGCCAUGGCUCUCCGGCCUCCCCCGUCUAGUUGCUGCUGUUCGAGCUCCUCUCAGCUCCCACCGACCACAUCAAGGGCAUCUGCCGUUGGGUCUCCGCGGAUCCACGGCGCCCCGAUGCAGGCGGCUCCCAACCCUAGCCGACUACAUCAAGGCUCAAAGGGGCUCCUCUUCACCGGCGCCGGCUUCAUCAGCAAGAAGAUGGCAGCCUCCUCCUCGGGUGUCAGGGCCGCUAACUCACCAAACCUCCGUCCCUCCUUCAAUUAUUUCCCAAUUUCUCUGUGUGUUGAAGCAGGGACGCCUCUUAGUGGAAAUGAAUCCAUUUUAACCCUAUGCUUGUGGAUGCAAAAUUCUCGUUCUGCAAAUUUGAAGGAAUGUGCUGUAGAAGUUUAUUGGUGAAUGUGAGUGUUUAGGAUUUGAAAGUGGUGUUAUGUUUUAGUUGCCGAGGUGGCCGAUGAACCUUCUGAUGUAGAGACAGAGCUAUCGGUUGAUGACGUAAUUUAUGUGUUCAAGUGAUAUUUUUGUUGGGAUUUGUGUGUGAUGUCAGUCAUUGCUCAUGCUCCCUAUGAAGCUAUAGCUUUCUUAAGUAAGGUAUACAUGUGCUUAUUAUUUCCUAUUGUAACUGCAAGGCAUUUUGAUUUCCCCCUUUUGAGCUCAGCUUUCUUAUCUGUAUCAUUUGUUCGUGCCUUACCUGCCGAUGAACCUUCUGCUGUAGAGACAUAGCUAUUGGUUGACAGUGUAAUUUAUGUGCUCAAGUGAUUUUUUGUUGGGAUUUCUGUGUGAUGUCGUUUGUUCCUCAUGCUGCAUAUGAAGCUACAGUUUACCCUUCUUUCAUAGAUUACAUGGGUUCAUUAUUUUCUUAUUAUAAUUGCAAGGCAUUUUUAUUUCUGUGUUUUGAGCUCAGCUUUCUUAAUUAUAUCCUUUGUUUGUGUUGGUGCCUUGAGCUGCCCUUCCACCUUUGUUACAGUGUCAUACCCCAGUAUUAUGCCAGGGUUGUGCCACACCUGACCUGUUGGAUACUGUGUUUGGCAGGGUUGAGAAGAGGUUUUUUUUAAUGGGGCUCCCUGCUCUAUAUGAGGAUGUUAUGUUUGUAUUUUCGACCCUGGAGCAGAGGACAAGGCUGGGGAUGUUCUAUCGGUUCUAAUAGAAGAACACGAAGUAUUUCUGAGCUCAGCAUGAUUGUGGCUGACAAAACUAGAGGUUUUCAUAGGGCAAAGCUGGUCAUCAUCAACCCGGGGCUCUACGUGGACGUGUUCUGGAUACCACAGCACCGGAGCUUCCCAACAUCCUUCAUGCUCUUUACCGGUAAUAAGCAAGUGAUGUGACGUGUUGCACUCCUAGAGAAUUGCUGGAAUGAAUUGUUUAUAUCAUGUGUAUUCAUAAGUACUUGUUUAUUUCCUUGGACGAUGAUGACCAUGGCCAACACUUUCGUGAUUCUUGUGCUGUCGACGGUGCAUUGCUGGCGGACCAUCUUCUCUCAUCAAGCGAGGAUGAUGAUGAUGCCGAGGACCUGAGCUGUUGCUUGAUCAUCUAUUGUUGCUGGAUUCUUUCAACCCUCUUGGUUUGGAAAUCCUUGGCUGUCCAGUAGAACAAAAUGCUUGUAGAUUUUGUAGGGAUGGUGUGUAUUGCAGUAUUUAGCAUUUAGCUUAACAAAAUGCUUGUAGAUUUUGUAGGGAUACUUGAUUUGUGGGAUACUUGAUCUUGCAACUGUGACUUGACUAAUAGAGUAGAAAAUAUCUUAUUAACGAGGAGAGACAGGCAGCAGCACGACGAGGAUUAGGGGAAGUAGCAGCAGUAGCAUGACUCUGCAUAGAAGUGGUUUCGAAAAAGCUCGAACAGCAAUGAGCUUGUUUUAUUUGCUGAUAAGGCUAUAUAAUGUGAUUUCUCUAUCACUGAGCGUAAAAUCUUGUUUUGCAGUACACUGGAAACUCAAGAUGUCAGAGCAAUGGUUGCAUAAAUUAGGACACUAUAAUGAAUAGUGUGAUUAUGAGUAUUGUAUAUAGCGUAUGUUAUGUAAUGACUUAGUUAUGCUUGAAGAGAGUAAUGGAGCCGAGUCAUUGUAUAUGCUAGUACAUUUGCUUGGUGGUAGAGAAUCUCAUGUAAGACAGAAAAUUUUAUGUAUGUUAAUGCUACAAAACAUUCCUCUUUC